UGGGGAAUUUUGGACAAUGGGCGCAAGCCUGAUCCAGCAAUGCCGCGUGCAGGAUGAAGGCCUUCGGGUUGUAAACUGCUUUUGUACGGAACGAAAAGGCUCUGGUUAAUACCUGGGGCUCAUGACGGUACCGUAAGAAUAAGCACCGGCUAACUACGUGCCAGCAGCCGCGGUAAUACGUAGGGUGCAAGCGUUAAUCGGAAUUACUGGGCGUAAAGCGUGCGCAGGCGGUUAUGUAAGACAGAUGUGAAAUCCCCGGGCUCAACCUGGGACCUGCAUUUGGGACUGCAUAGCUAGAGUACGGCAGAGGGGGAUGGAAUUCCGCGUGUAGCAGUGAAAUGCGUAGAUAUGCGGAGGAACACCGAUAGCGAAGGCAAUCCCCUGGGCCUGUACUGACGCUCAUGCACGAAAGCGUGGGGAGCAAACA
rnacentral:rRNA from 1 species